rnacentral:rRNA from 1 species
UACGUAGGGGGCGAGCGUUGUCCGAAUUUACUGGGCGUAAAGAGCGCGUAGGCGGGUUCUUAAGUGAGAGGUGAAAGGUUCAGGGCUCAACCCGAACAGUGCCUUUCAUACUGGGAGCCUUGAGUGUGGGAGAGGCGAGUGGAAUUUCUGGUGUAGCGGUGAAAUGCGUAGAUAUCAGAAGGAACACCCAUGGCGAAGGCAGCUCGCUGGCCUACAACUGACGCUGGAGGCGCGAAAGCGUGGGGAGCAAACAGG